AAACGCUUGAAGUCAGUCGCAUCGACCGAGACUCAGCCUUGCCUCGGCUUGGUGUACUUCUCGGCUGAUGGGUCAGCAUCGAUUUCGACCCUUGGAUAAUGGUGGGGGAAAGGUGGCACCUUUACCGGUGUGUUAUAGCCCUCUGUCGUAUGCAACGGUUGGGAUUGAGGACUGCAGCACGCCUUUAUGGCCGGGGUUCGCCCACGUACGUGCUUAGGAUGUUGGCAUAAUGGCUUUAAGCGA
rnacentral:rRNA from 1 species